GAUCGGCCCGCGUCUGAUUAGCUAGCUGGUGGGGUAAAGGCCCACCAAGGCGACGAUCGGUAGCUGUUCUGAGAGGAAGAUCAGCCACACUGGGACUGAGACGCGGCCCAGACUCCUACGGGAGGCAGCAGUUGGGAAUCUUGGACAAUGGGGGAAACCCUGAUCCAGCCAUGCCGCGUGAGUGAUGAAGGCCUUCGGGUUGUAAAACUCUUUCGACGGGGACGAUAAUGACGGUACCCGUAGAAGAAGCUCCGGCUAACUUCGUGCCAGCAGCCGCGGUAAUACGAAGGGGGCUAGCGUUGUUCGGAAUUACUGGGCGUAAAGCGUGCGCAGGCGGUCCUCCAAGUCAGUGGUGAAAGCCCGGAGCUCAACUCCGGAACUGCCAUUGAAACUGUGAGACUCGAGUACGAGAGAGGUGAGUGGAAUUCCCAGUGUAGAGGUGAAAUUCGUAGAUAUUGGGAAGAACACCGGUGGCGAAAGCCGCUCACUGGCUCGUAACUGACGCUCAAGCACGACAGCGUGGGGAUCAAACAGGAUUAGAUACCCUGGUAGUCCACGCCGUAAACUAUGGCCGCUAGGCCGGUAGGCAGCUUGGUGCUUAGUGGCCCAACUUAAUGCAUUAAGCCGUCCCGGCCGGGGG
rnacentral:rRNA from 1 species